GGUUAAGUGACUAAGCGUACACGGUGGAUGCCUAGGCAGUCAGAGGCGAUGAAGGGCGUGCUAAUCUGCGAUAAGCGUCGGUAAGGUGAUAUGAACCGUAAUAACCGACGAUACCCGAAUGGGGAAACCCGGUGCACUUUGGUGCAUCAUUGCAACAUGAAUACAUAGUGUUGCAAGGCGAACCUGGGGAACUGAAACAUCUAAGUACCCAGAGGAAAAGAAAUCAACCGAGAUUCCCCCAGUAGCGGCGAGCGAACGGGGAACAGCCCAGAACCUGAAUCAGUUUGUGCAUUAGUGGAAGCGUCUGGAAAGUCGCAGGGUACAGGGUGAUACUCCCGUACACAAAAAUGCACUUGCUGUGAGUUCGAUGAGUAGGGCGGGACACGUGACAUCCUGUCUGAAUAUGGGGGGACCAUCCUCCAAGGCUAAAUACUCCUGACUGACCGAUAGUGAACCAGUACCGUGAGGGAAAGGCGAAAAGAACCCCGGCGAGGGGAGUGAAACAGAACCUGAAACCGUGUACGUACAAGCAGUGGGAGCACCUUCGUGGUGUGACUGCGUACCUUUUGUAUAAUGGGUCAGCGACUUAUAUUCUGUAGCAAGGUUAACCGUAUAGGGGAGCCGAAGGGAAACCGAGUCUUAACUGGGCGUUAAGUUGCAGGGUAUAGACCCGAAACCCGGUGAUCUAGCCAUGGGCAGGUUGAAGGUUGGGUAACACUAACUGGAGGACCGAACCGACUAAUGUUGAAAAAUUAGCGGAUGACUUGUGGCUGGGGGUGAAAGGCCAAUCAAACCGGGAGAUAGCUGGUUCUCCCCGAAAGCUAUUUAGGUAGCGCCUCGUGAACUCAUCUUCGGGGGUAGAGCACUGUUUCGGCUAGGGGGCCAUCCCGGCUUACCAACCCGAUGCAAACUGCGAAUACCGAAGAAUGUUAUCACGGGAGACACACGGCGGGUGCUAACGUCCGUCGUGAAGAGGGAAACAACCCAGACCGCCAGCUAAGGUCCCAAAGUCAUGGUUAAGUGGGAAACGAUGUGGGAAGGCACAGACAGCCAGGAUGUUGGCUUAGAAGCAGCCAUCAUUUAAAGAAAGCGUAAUAGCUCACUGGUCGAGUCGGCCUGCGCGGAAGAUGUAACGGGGCUAAACCAUGCACCGAAGCUGCGGCAGCGACGCUUAUGCGUUGUUGGGUAGGGGAGCGUUCUGUAAGCCGUCGAAGGUGGCCUGUGAGGGCUGCUGGAGGUAUCAGAAGUGCGAAUGCUGACAUAAGUAACGAUAAAGCGGGUGAAAAGCCCGCUCGCCGGAAGACCAAGGGUUCCUGUCCAACGUUAAUCGGGGCAGGGUGAGUCGACCCCUAAGGCGAGGCCGAAAGGCGUAGUCGAUGGGAAACAGGUUAAUAUUCCUGUACUCGGUGUUACUGCGAAGGGGGGACGGAGAAGGCUAUGUUAGCCGGGCGACGGUUGUCCCGGUUUAAGCAUGUAGGCGGAGAGUUUAGGUAAAUCCGGACUCUUUUUAACGCUGAGGUGUGAUGACGAGGCACUACGGUGCUGAAGUAACAAAUGCCCUGCUUCCAGGAAAAGCCUCUAAGCAUCAGGUAACACGGAAUCGUACCCCAAACCGACACAGGUGGUCAGGUAGAGAAUACCAAGGCGCUUGAGAGAACUCGGGUGAAGGAACUAGGCAAAAUGGUGCCGUAACUUCGGGAGAAGGCACGCUGGCGCGUAGGUGAAGGGACUUGCUCCCGGAGCUGAAGCCAGUCGAAGAUACCAGCUGGCUGCAACUGUUUAUUAAAAACACAGCACUGUGCAAACACGAAAGUGGACGUAUACGGUGUGACGCCUGCCCGGUGCCGGAAGGUUAAUUGAUGGGGUUAUCCGCAAGGAGAAGCUCUUGAUCGAAGCCCCGGUAAACGGCGGCCGUAACUAUAACGGUCCUAAGGUAGCGAAAUUCCUUGUCGGGUAAGUUCCGACCUGCACGAAUGGCGUAAUGAUGGCCAGGCUGUCUCCACCCGAGACUCAGUGAAAUUGAACUCGCUGUGAAGAUGCAGUGUACCCGCGGCAAGACGGAAAGACCCCGUGAACCUUUACUAUAGCUUGACACUGAAUAUUGAACCUUGAUGUGUAGGAUAGGUGGGAGGCUUUGAAGCGUGGACGCCAGUCUGCGUGGAGCCAACCUUGAAAUACCACCCUUUAACGUUUGAUGUUCUAACCUGGCGCCGUGAUCCGGCGUGGGGACAGUGUCUGGUGGGUAGUUUGACUGGGGCGGUCUCCUCCUAAAGAGUAACGGAGGAGCACGAAGGUUAGCUAAUCACGGUCGGACAUCGUGAGGUUAGUGCAAUGGCAUAAGCUAGCUUGACUGCGAGAGUGACGGCUCGAGCAGGUGCGAAAGCAGGUCAUAGUGAUCCGGUGGUUCUGAAUGGAAGGGCCAUCGCUCAACGGAUAAAAGGUACUCCGGGGAUAACAGGCUGAUACCGCCCAAGAGUUCAUAUCGACGGCGGUGUUUGGCACCUCGAUGUCGGCUCAUCACAUCCUGGGGCUGAAGUAGGUCCCAAGGGUACGGCUGUUCGCCGUUUAAAGUGGUACGCGAGCUGGGUUUAGAACGUCGUGAGACAGUUCGGUCCCUAUCUGCCGUGGGCGCUGGAAGAUUGAGAGGGGUUGCUCCUAGUACGAGAGGACCGGAGUGAACGCACCACUGGUGUUCGGGUUGUCAUGCCAAUGGCAUUGCCCGGUAGCUAAGUGCGGAAAAGAUAAGCGCUGAAAGCAUCUAAGCGCGAAACUUGCCUCGAGAUGAAUCUUCCCUGGGCCUUUAAGGCCCCUGAAGGGACGUUGAAGACUACGACGUUGAUAGGCCGGGUGUGUAAGCGCAGCGAUGCGUUGAGCUAACCGGUACUAAUGACCCGUGAGGCUUAACCUUACAACACCAGAAGCGUUCUG
rnacentral:rRNA from 1 species